rnacentral:lncRNA from 10 species
AGACAAGCCACAUACUGAGAGGAAAAAUUUGCAAAACUCAUAUCUGAUAAAAGACGACCAGUAUCCAAAAAUUUAUAAAGGACUGUUAAAGUUCAACAAUAAGAAAAAAAGCCCAAUUUAAAAAUGGACAAAAGAUUUGAAGAGAUACUUCAUUAAGAAGAUCUACAGAUGGUGGAUAAGCACAUAAUAAUGUCCGCUGUGAUGUCUGUAGGGAAAUGAAAAUUAAUUCAACAUUGGCAUUCCAGUACACACCUACUCGAAUGCCAGAAAUCUGGAACCCUGCAACAACCACAUGCUGAUGAGAAAAGUGAGACCCGAGAAAUUAAGUGAUAUGCGCGAGACCUGCCCGAGAAGUAAUUGGAGCCCAGUACCCCUGAUGUGGGAGUGCUGCUCUCAAGGCACAGUGCUAUACUAUGGAAAGGGGAAUAAUGGAAGGCCAGUGCCUCAGAGGAAAUGUCUGAGAACGCAGCAGGACUCCAUACUGAUGUAAAGACCUGUGGUAGGAGAAACACAGCCCAGCCCUGAGUCAGACUAAACAUGGGAAUAUUUCUCAUGGAAUGGGGACAGAGCAGAGGACAAGGUGAUAAAGAAAUAAUAUCUCCUGGCCUGGUGCGGUGGCUCAUGCCUGUAAUCCCAGCACUUUGAGAGGCCAAAGCAGGUGGAUCACUUGAGGUCAGGAAUUCGAGACCAGCCUGGCCAACAUGUCAAAAACCUGUCUAUACUAAAAAUACAAAAGCCAGGCGUGGGGGCACAUGCCUGUAAUCUCUGCUACUCAGGUCUGAAGCAUGAGAAUUACUUGAACCUGGGAGGCAGAGGUUGCAGUAAGCUGACAUCGCGCCACUGCACUCCAGCCUGGGCAACAGAGUGAGACUCUGUCUCAAAAUAAAAAAUAAAAUAAAAUAAAAUAAAUAAAAUAAAAUAAAAUAAAGAAAUACUUUUCAUAAGUCAUGUGAUCCUUCAUACACAUUAGAAUCCUGUAAUAAAAUCCUAUACUACUUGUUUCAAAUAAUAAAUCAAAGUGUAUUUAAUGUCAUUUAGUCAAUGUUAAGGGAACAUCUCAUUAGGGACCCAUGAUUUUUUUCUGAUAAGCUGCCAUCACAGAAUGACUUCAAGUCGAUGGCCUUUACUGAAAUAAUUUCUAAUAUGUAUUUUAUACAAUUCAAUCUUAGCUCACGCCAUGCUUUAUAGAUAUAAACAUAUCUGUAAUCUGAUUAUGUCUUUUUCACCCACUUUCUUUCUGUAUUUUACACCUUCAUGGCUAAACUAACAUCAACUUUAAAAAUAUGGGCCACAGCUCCAUCCAACAUUAAGGUUUUAAUUGUUUUUCUUGCCCUCUUUAUAUGAGUGGUAUUGGUUUCAUGUGAUCUUAAAAAUUUUGCUACUUUAUCCGAUGUGUAUGUGUGUGUGUGGGUGUGGCUGUGUGUGUGGUAAUAUCUUAUAUGGGCAUCAUCUGUCAAUCUCAAAUUUUAUUAGACAAUCAUGAAAGGGUGUGCUGUUUUGUUUAAAAGUUUAUAUGUUUAGUUAUUGGUCAUUGGAUUUAAAGAAAUCUUAAGAUUUCUUUAAAUUGAAGAAAAGUUAGGUAAAAUGAUUAACACUAAAAUGAUGAUUAAUGAUGAUUAAUUGUUUAACUAGUCCCAUUUUCCCAGUUGCAGAAUCACUACAUACUAUUCUGAAUGUAAUGUUUGAUUAAAGAGAUGAGUCAAACUCUCUUGUUUAGUGGUGUAGUUAGAGCAAUCACUAUUGACUGCUUAUCACUUCUAGGCAGUCCUACCCAUGAAGAAGAACUGAGAGCUCCUCAAUUCAGAGCUUCCAGUGGGUUUUGUGGACACUACCUUUUCCUUUAUUCAAAGCCAUUUCUAAUAUAAAUGCUUAUCAUUUAUUGUUUACUUAUUUAUUUACUAGACCUCAUGAAUUGGAUUGGUCAUAAUCCUUCAUUCACAACACAUCAUCAUCCUCUUAGAUGUAGGAACUUUCUUUAUAUAGUUUGUGGGUUUUCUAAUGUACUUAUUAUAUAGUUUGUUUCUAAUGUACUUAUUAUAUAGUUGGUUUUCUAAUGUACUUAUUCUUAAUUCUAUAAUCAACAACCCCCAAAGCACUAUCUAAUCCAAGAGCUAGAAUAUUCUACCAAAAAUACUUUUUCCUAAGCACUUCUCCCAAUCCCACAUCCCUGCCAUUUCUCCAAAAAUAACCAAUACCUGAAUUUUAUAUCUAUUUCCUCCUUGUUCUUUAUGUAGGUGAGUUACUGCAUACAUUUGAUGCCUAAAAAAUAUUGUUUAGUUUUACCAGGUUGUGAGUUUCAAAACAAGAAUAUCAAACAAGAAUAUCAAACUGUAUGUUGUCUUUUGAGACUUACUUUAUUGAUUCAGCAAAAUGAUACUAAUGUUUAUCCAUGUUGUUGCAUGUAGCUAAACAUACUCUAUUGUGAAAAGAUACCAUAAUUUAUAUAUUUUCUGUCUAUAUGUUUUUGUAUUAUUUCCAUUUUGUUCCUUUAUGAUCAGUGCUAUUGUGUACAUGUUUUGGGGGACACAUGUACUAAGCUUUUCCUUGAAUUGAACUUGGAGUAGAAUUGCUAGAUUUUAAAGAAUGCAAAUGUCAGCUGUAUAUUGUUUUCCAACGCAGUUGUACCAGUUUAUAUUUCUACCAUCAAAGUAAAAGAAAAUCCUGGAUACACACUCCAUCCAACACUUGAUAUGGCCAGUCUGCUUUAUUUUGCUAUUGAAAAGUCAAGUUGAUAUUGUCUUCUUAAUUUUCAUUUCUUUCAUUAUCAAUAAAGAGGAAGUCAAACUGUCAC